AUAGGGAGGGCAUUUUACUAACAUCUUAGCACCUAAGCCAAUUAACAAUGUCUAUUUGUCUAUAUCUUGAUUUUCUUCAAUGAUGUAAUAAUGCCUUUAAAAGGGUCUGCGCACCCAUUUUCUGUCAGAAGCCAUUAAACUUCUCCGAAGUUCUUUCAUUAACCUGAACUUUGUGUCUCAGUGUGAAUUUACUUCUGCGUGCACGCAACUUUAUUAUCUUUAAUUUGGACAGGAACAGAUAG